rnacentral:rRNA from 1 species
GACGAACGCUGGCGGCGUGCUUAACACAUGCAAGUCGAACGGAAAGGCCCUGCUUUUGUGGGGUGCUCGAGUGGCGAACGGGUGAGUAACACGUGAGUAACCUGCCCUUGACUUUGGGAUAACAUCAGGAAACUGGGGCUAAUACCGGAUAGGAGCUCCUGCUGCAUGGGGGGGGUUGGAAAGUUUCGGCGGUUGGGGAUGGACUCGCGGCUUAUCAGCUUGUUGGGGAGGUAGUGGCUUACCAAGGCUUUGACGGGUAGGCGGCCUGAGAGGUUGACCGGCCACCAUGGGACUGAGAGACGGACCAGACUCCUACGGGAGGCAGCAGGGGGGAAUAUUGCACAAUGGGCGGACGCCUGAUGCAGCAACGCCGGGUGCGGGAUGACGGCCUUCGGGGUGUAAACCGCUUUGGACUGUGACGAAGCGUGCGUGACGGUAACGGGUCAAGAAGCACCGGCUAACUACGUG